rnacentral:rRNA from 1 species
AGUGAACGCUGGCGGCGUGCCUAAUACAUGCAAGUCGAACGGUAACAGGAAGUAGCUUGCUACUUUGCUGAUUAGUGGCGCACGGGUGAGUAAUGCAUAGGUCAUGUGCCCCAUAGUCUGGGAUAGCCACUGGAAACGGUGAUUAAUACUGGAUACUCCCGAGAGGGGAAAGUUUUUCGCUAUGGGAUCAGCCUAUGUCCUAUCAGCUUGUUGGUGAGGUAAUGGCUCACCAAGGCUAUGACGGGUAUCCGGCCUGAGAGGGUGAACGGACACACUGGAACUGAGACACGGUCCAGACUCCUACGGGAAGCAGCAGUAGGGAAUAUUGCUCAAUGGGGGAAACCCUGAAGCAGCAACGCCGCGUGGAGGAUGAAGGUCUUCGGAUUGUAAACUCCUUUUCUAAGAGAAGAUUAUGACGGUAUCUUAGGAAUAAGCACCGGCUAACUCCGUG